rnacentral:rRNA from 1 species
ACGAGUGGCGGACGGGUGAGUAAUGUCUGGGAAACUGCCCGAUGGAGGGGGAUAACUACUGGAAACGGUAGCUAAUACCGCAUAAUGUCUACGGACCAAAGCGGGGGACCUCCGGGCCUCGCGCCAUCAGACGAACCCAUAUGGGAUUAGCUAGUAGGUAAGGUAACGGCUUACCUAGGCGACGAUCCCUAGCUGGUCUGAGAGGAUGACCAGCCACACUGGAACUGAGACACGGUCCAG